rnacentral:rRNA from 1 species
GAGUUUGAUCGUGGCUCAGGAUGAACGCUGGCGGCGUGCCUAACACAUGCAAGUCGAACGGAGUUUAUGAGGAAGAAGCUUCGGCGGAAUUCUUAUAAACUUAGUGGCGGACGGGUGAGUAACACGUGGAGAACCUGCCUCUUACCGGGGGACGAGCAGUUGGAAACGAACUGAUAAUACCGCAUAAGCGCACGAGACCGCAUGGUCCUGUGUGAAAAGAUUUAUCGGUAAGAGAUGGCUCCGCGUCUGAUUAGCCAGUUGGCGGGGUAACGGGCCCGACCAAACGCGACGAUCAGUAGCCGGCCUGAGAGGGUGAACGGCCGACAUUGGGACGUGAGACACGGCCC